UUGCUAAGGGUGACGAGUGGAAAGUAGUCAACCUUGUGCACCCUCGAAACAUUUACCGGGCGGCUACACUUGGAGAGGCCAAAGACGAGGAAGAGGAUGUUGCGUAUCAAGAGCCCAACGCAAUAGGUAUUCCUAACUCCUCUACCGUUCGCCUUAAUAAUUUUAAAGCGGGUCGUUCGGUGCGAAUUCGUGAUGAAGAGCCAAGGCUUAUUGAUGUUGAUCCAAAUCAAGAAACAGACGAAGACUCUGGCGAUGAGGAAAGACAUAUAUUACCAGAAAUUAAUUCUGACACCGAAGAAGACUCAUCGGAUGAUUCCGAUUACGAGCCUUAGUUUUAAUUUAGAGGACUUAAUCCAUUAAUUUGUAUAACUAAAGACCUUUUCCUUUAUAGUUUAUAUAUGUUGAAUUCAUAUUUCAGUUAUUUUAUAUGAAUUUUGGUGAUACAUGAUGAACAGGAAGUUAGUAUGGUUUACUAAUAUCGUCUGUUUUUUUUAAUGUAUUUUUUUCCUUAAGCCGACGAAAUACACCAUAAUUCGUCGGCUAAAACCAUCUUAGCCGACGAAUUAUAGUGUAUUUCCUCGGCUAAACCCAUCUUAGCCGACGAAUGCCGACGAAUUAUAGUAUAUUUAGUCGGCUAAACCCAUCUUAGCCGACGAAAUAUAGUAUAUUUCGUCGGCUAAUAAAGUUUUAGCCGACGAAUAACCUAAUAUUUCGUCGGCUUUAGUUAUUUUUUAAUUUUUUAAUCACAUACUAUAGCCGACGAAUACGUUAGGGUAUUCGUCGGCUAAACCCUAAAAUUUUUCUAUUACCUACUAUAGCCCUAUCUUCGGUGGUUAUUUUCCGUAAAAUUUUUAGACGACUUCUUGCGUCUCAUCGGUUUGAAACUAUUUUCAGUUGGAGGUCUGGCCAAAAUACGUAAUUUAGACGGUCGAACGACCUUUUCCGUGCGUUUAGGGGUUUGACUUACAAGAUUGACCGUCCGGAUCGAGCCCCUAUUCUUUUCAGAUCAAGUUGAAUUUUUUCCCAUACAUGUAUUUUGUCAUGAUGGUCAGAUCUGACGGUCGGAUUUCUGUUUCUCAAGUUUGAUCAUCACAAUCACAACAUGCAUACUAAUGUUGUAUAACUUGUUUACCAAGUGUUAUGUAAAUGUUCCGUUUCAAAAACAAACUAUAAGUAAAACCUUCAAACGCCAAAAAGUCAUGAAAUAAGAUAUGACGAGAAUGUUGAAAUACAUCCACGGUUGAAAAAUCACACUAUUCCGGUAAAUAUUCGGUGCCGAUAGUU
rnacentral:lncRNA from 1 species